UCAGUUUACAACUCCCAAACCCUAUGUGAACAACCUACUGUGCUUCGGCGGACUCGCCCCGGCGUCCGGACGGCCUCGCGCGCCCGCGGCCCGGACCCAGGCGGCCGCCGGAGACCUCUAAACUCUGUAUUAUCAGCAUUUUCUGAAUCCGCCCAAGGCAAAACAAAUGAAUCAAAACUUUCAACAACGGAUCUCUUGGUUCUGGCAUCGAUGAAGAACGCAGCGAAAUGCGAUAAGUAAUUGAAUUGCAGAAUUCAGUGAAUCAUCGAAUCUUGAACGCACAUUGCCCGCCAGCAUUCUGGCGGGCAUGCCUGUUCGAGCGUCAUUUCAACCCUCGACUUCCCUUUGGGAAAUCGGCGUUGGGGAACGGCAGCAUACGCCGGCCCCGAAAUGGAGUGGCGGCCCGUCCGCGGCACCUCUGCGUAGUAAUCCAACUCGCACCGGAACCCCGACGUGGCACGCCGUAAAACACCAAUUCGAAC
rnacentral:rRNA from 1 species